rnacentral:rRNA from 1 species
GGUUAAGCGACUAAGCGUACACGGUGGAUGCCCUGGCAGUCAGAGGCGAUGAAGGACGUGUUAAUCUGCGAUAAGCGUCGGUAAGGUGAUAUGAACCGUUAUAACCG